CGGAUUAACUUGAUGUCAACUCCGGGUCGGGUCGAGGAGGAAUAGGGGAAGGAGACAAGUAACUCGUCUCCGUACCGCCGGUAGGUGGCCACGGUAUCGGCCGUACCACGUGCGCGGCCCGUAGGUGAUGGAGGGGCGACAGAUAUUUCUGGUGGGGCUACGGGACCUGCUUGGGAUCAACGGGAGGGGGGAAAGGGGACGCGACAAAAGAAGGAGAGGGCGUGUGCGGGCUCGAGGUGGGCGGUACAGGUAGCAGCAGGAGCACAGGUAGCAGGUGGAGUAGCCAGCUCCGGAGACGUCCUCGACACAGGCGAAGAGAUGUAGCUGAGGCUCCUCGUCGAGCUCUUCCUCUAGCGGUGUUGCGUCCCUAGCUGCAGCAGAAGAUGGAGGCCGGUGGCGCCGAGGUAGCUGCUUAAACAGUGGAAGUGAUGUAGGGCCUGGAGGAGCUCGAGGAGAAGGCUGAGCGCUGGGGCUGUGGCUACGACGGGGACACUAGCUGAUGUAGCUGCUGCUGUGAAGAAGGAAAAGUCGUCUCGAAGGUCUACAGCCUCGGGUCCUCGGUCUACGGUGGCAGCUACGGAUGAUGAUGCACCUCUGGCGGCUGCUGGUCCUCAUCAAUCCUCCGAGGGUCCGUCCUCCGGAACGGAAAAGCUAGCAUCUACGAAAACACGACCGGAAGAAUUCCUUUUGAACAGAUUGAAUACAGACAUGAGUCUAUAACAACGAAGGUGACUGAGAACACAUAAAGCUCGAAUACAUAAGCUCGGGAGCUCCGUGUACCGAACAUUGUAUUUCGAACAUAAUAAAAUU
rnacentral:rRNA from 1 species